rnacentral:rRNA from 1 species
UACGAGAGGCCCAAACGUUAUUCGGAAUUACUGGGCUUAAAGAGUUCGUAGGCGGCGCAGAAAGUAGGGUGUGAAAGCCCUCGGCUCAACCGAGGAAUUGCGCCCUAAACUACUGUGCUUGAGGAACCUAGAGGUGAGCGGAACUGAUGGUGGAGCGGUGAAAUGCGUUGAUAUCAUCAGGAACACCGGAGGCGAAGGGCGGCUCACUGGGGGGUUUUCUGGACGCUGAGGAACGAAAGCCAGGGGAGCGAACGGG